UACGUAGGGUCCAAGCGUUGUCCGGAUUUAUUGGGCGUAAAGAGCUUGUAGGCGGUUUGUCGCGUCUGCUGUGAAAAUCCGGGGCUCAACCCCGGACUUGCAGUGGGUACGGGCAGACUAGAGUGUGGUAGGGGAGACUGGAAUUCCUGGUGUAGCGGUGAAAUGCGCAGAUAUCAGGAGGAACACCGAUGGCGAAGGCAGGUCUCUGGGCCACUACUGACGCUGAGAAGCGAAAGCAUGGGGAGCGAACAGG
rnacentral:rRNA from 1 species